CUGCCUUGAUCAGGGGCAGAAUGACAGAUUUUUACCUUGUCGGCUCGGGGAUUCCAUCCAGCGAGAACUGGUAUCUUACAGGUUCUGAGAUCCUUAUACACCUGUGUGACACGGACGGCUGCUUUGUGGUCAGUGGAGGUCAGUUUAUGAGAGGAAUUGUAGGAUAUUAUGGACCGUUGGUGUAGUAUCGUAACAUAAUACCUGACUUCAGGAUGGUAAGAAUCACAGUCAGACACAUUCAAAUCCAUCUUUAAUUCAACAAAACAUGUUAUACCUGUAUUCACUCGUCUCCCACAGUCUGAAGUCAUUGUUCCAGACCAUAUUAGGAGUCUGAAAUUGACUGGAUGGCUACAGUCCUGUCAGGAGUUUCAGUUGGAGCUUUCACGUCAAGUUGACUGGAUAUUUAUUGAGAGCCAGACAGAAACAAGAGUCUGGUAAUGAUGUGUAACAUCCACUAGAUGGCAUGAUGGUGUAUAAAAUAUUUAGUGGCUCACAAAGUUAGUGUCACUCCAUCCAAACUGACACGACCUCUGUUUUCCAGAGAACUGUAUGGAUGCUUAUCAUGAGCAGACAUUACAUAUCAUCUAGCUGUGACACCACACUGUGAACCCUGGGAGACACCCAGUGCCCCUUAAAGACAUUGUGCAGUAUGACUGCCAAAGCUAAUGGCCUCCAAGCAUGGGGGCAGAAAGGUUGAUCUGGCAUCUGUGGGAAGAGCUCUGUACUCCUUGUUUUAACUGUGUUAAGAGAGCACUGGAUCCACUCGACUAGUUAACAGGAUAAUGGCCCUUCUGCUGCAAGCUGGCUGUCUGGGGAACAACAGAGCUCUACACCUCUCAUCAGUGCUCUACAGCAGUGGUGCAGAAGUGGAGAGGCAGGCCAAUAAGGUGGAUGAAUGAGUUUGGCUAUUCAGGUGUCUGUCUUCAUGAAUAGAGCCAGGAGUUUAUUUAUACUUUAUCCCUACUACUCUGACAUCGCCAAGUGGAUAUUCUCUGACCAGCACAACCCCUCACCUCAGCAGGUAGGCCUUCGUGCUUGAAUCGAGAUCAUCUCGGCAGUGUGUAUUACACAAUCCUAAAACAGGUCAUUUAAUGAAAACUACUCCUCCUCUGCUCUGUCUGUAUUGUAGAUGUUUGUAGAAUCUAUUUACUUGAACGAGGAAGUGCUGAUGUUCCAAAUCAAAGGAAACCAUGAUAUCUUCCACUGGCUAAAACUCCAGGCCCACAAUGGAGCCGCAGAUGCAGAGGUUCUAUUCAUCUGUCUGAUGGUUUCCAGUAUUAAACAUCAUCUGACAAAAUCUUUGUGAUAACGGUUGAACUGCUCUUCUAUAGCAAGCUGUGGCCCGUAUGCUGUUCUGGGGCCAGCAGGGCGUGUCUCCAGACAUCCAGACUGCUGUGAGACACUACGAGAGCGGAGUUGUCUGUCUGCGGGGACCCAGUGUCCAUGUAAAACUAGGCCAUAGUCCUCAUGCAGGUCCGAGGUGAAACACUCAGUUUGAUGACACCGUCAUCAGUCUCUGUAGUCAUCCUAAGUUCAAUGAUAGUAAUGUCUUUUGACAAGACCAUCAUUACAUUUAAGGGCCAAGGAGUCAAGAAAGACAUUCCAAGGGCAGUCACUUUCCUGAGGAAGCAGUAGAGCAGGGUUUCACGCCAGCGAUCAACGCCCUUGGCUGGUGCUAUGAGCAGUUUGAGAAGGACUACUAUUUUUGAAAAUGUAUUUUAAAUAAAUAAAUAAAUUAACUACC